rnacentral:rRNA from 1 species
GACGUAGGGCGCGAGCGUUGUCCGGAUUUAUUGGGCGUAAAGAGCUCGUAGGCGGCUGCUCGUCGCGUCGUCCGUGAAAACCCGCGGCUCAACCUGUGGCUGCGGUCGAUACGGGCAGGCUGAGUUCGGUAGGGGAGACUGGAAUUCCUGGUGUAGCGGUGAAAUGCGCAGAUAUCAGGAGGAACACCGGUGGCGAAAGGCGGGCUC